rnacentral:misc_RNA from 1 species
UGAAACUUCAAAUCUGAAGUCUCAACUCCGAUUCCGUCAGUAGAAUCAAAGUAUGGAGCUCUGUAAACUUGUGCUGCUUUUGUUGACGGUGAUAACGGUGGCGGAAGCGAUAUGGAUGGAGUUACCGACUUCGGGAACCAAGUGUUUGUCGGAGGAUAUCCACUCGAACGUCGUCGUUUUGGCUGAUUACAGUGUAAUCGGUGAUGAAGAACACGCUCAAGCUAAUGUUGUCCCCACCAUCUCUGUCAAGGUCACAUCACCUUUUGGAAACAAUCUUCACCAUAAAGAGAAUGUAACACAUGGUCAAUUUGCUUUCACAACCACUGAGGCUGGUAACUACUUGGCAUGCUUUUGGAUGGACAACCAUGCACCUGGGGCUAAAGCUGUUACUAUCGGCAUUGACUGGAAGACUGGAAUCAGUGCAAAG